UCAGUAACACGUAGUCAACAUGCCCAGGGGACGUGGAUAACCUCGGGAAACUGAGGAUAAACCGCGAUAGGCCAUGAUUUCUGGAAUGGUUCAUGGCCGAAAUCUAUAUGGCCCCUGGAUUGGACUGCGGCCGAUCAGGCUGUUGGUGAGGUAAUGGCCCACCAAACCUGUAACCGGUACGGGCUCUGAGAGGAGGAGCCCGGAGAUGGGCACUGAGACAAGGGCCCAGGCCCUAUGGGGCGCAGCAGGCGCGAAAUCUCUGCAAUAGGCGAAAGCUUGACAGGGUUACUCUGAGUGAUUCCCGCUAAGGGGAUCUUUUGGCACCUUUAAAAAUGGUACAGAAUAAGGGGGUGGGCAAGUCUGGUGCCAGC
rnacentral:rRNA from 1 species